UUAGCUAUGUAUUUGCCUUAAUCUGCAUGUGUGUAGUGUAGAUAAUCUUAACCAACAUUAUAGAAUCCAUGUUCUGUUGAAAAUUUUGAAUGUUCUGAGAUGGAAAAGGUUAUGAUAAAUUGGAAGGUAGAAAUUCUAUUAUGAGUUCUCCAGUUGAUUUGGGACGGGUAAUAUAAACUUUUAUGUAAAGUUGAUUUGUUAUUUAUUUAUUUUUUGGAUGCUUAAUUUCAUCCGGAAACAAAUAGUGUUUAUCAUCACCAAGUGUUACAAAGAGUAUUUUAAAGUGUUUUUUAACCAAUCUAUUAUCAAGUUUUUUGGCGGGUUUCUUAUUUCAUUUUCCGUUGUUUUGCAAGAAACCAGAGCCUUUCCAUGCUCAAGAGUUCCACAGGGCCACUCUAUUUAGGGCUUGAAGAUUUCUACAUUCGUUUAUCAUCGACUUCAAGUAUUUCAUUCCAUUGACGACUUAAAGUAAACUGCAACAACACAGUUUGGUUAUGAUUGGGAAAAAUUGGUUGAUUAUCUGCAUAUUUCAUGAGGAUAUAAAUAGGGACUAUCUAUCAAACUUUUGCCUGUAAAUGGUAUGUAUAUACACAUCAAAUAUUAUUUUUUGUAUGUAAGCAAAAUUACAUACAAAAAAUAUUUGUACGGUUAAAGGACAGUUAGGAGUUCAAUUUGUAAAAGAUGCAAAUAUUAGAACAAUGGCAAUAGAACCACCAAUCCAUAUGGUUGUAAAUAGAUUCCUACAUAUAAAUAGUAUUGCAUAUUGUAUGUA